UGAAGUAAGCCUCGGCCGACCUUGGUUCUACUUUGAACUUCUUGCAAAAGGGCAGCCACUGCUUCGAGAAAGUUGCAGCCUCUAACAUGGCAUAAAACGUUAAGUCUGACCCUCCAUCGUCUGAUAGAUAGAUGCUUAACUUCUCUGGCGGAUAAUCAUAAGCCAUCACUGAUAACACUGUGUUGAUCACCAGGCUCGGUGGCUCUAUCAGUGGAUCCGCCGUGCAUACAAAUAUAUCUACGCCAGGUAGUUCUUUAUCGAAUCUGUUAUAUUGUUAGAGAUUAAAACAAAGUAUAUAAAAAAAUACAGUCUGAUAUGAUUAAACACACGCAGUUAUCAGAAACGAAAUAAACUUUAUUCUUUCGAUUUAUUAUUUUUUUCUUAAAUUUGCUCCUUUUUCUUGUUAGAAUAGCUUAAGAUAUAUGUUCGAGAUACCUUUGAGAGAGCCUGUCUUUGUAAGGAAGACGGUAGACAGAGUCCCAUCUACAAACUGCGGUGAGAAACCAAUAAAAACUGAACCAUAGCUCAGCAAGAAACAACCCAAUCCAAGUCCAUCUCUCAACUUUU
rnacentral:lncRNA from 1 species